GCGGAGGAACGAUGUGGUUUAAUUCGAUGGAUACGCGAGGAACCUUACCCGGGCUUGAACUGCAGGAGAACGAUUCAGAGAUGAUGAGGUCCUUCGGGACUCCUGUGGAGGUGCUGCAUGGUUGUCGUCAGCUCGUGCCGUGAGGUGUCGGCUUAAGUGCCAUAACGAGCGCAACCCCUCUCCGUAGUUGCCAUCGGGUGAUGCCGGGCACUCUGCGGACACUGCCACCGUAAGGUGUGA
rnacentral:rRNA from 1 species